ensembl:lncRNA
UCCCAGAGCCCCUCCCCAGCUCUCCAGCCUUUGCCCAGCCCUCGCCCUGACCCCGUUGUUUUCGCAGCUCCCGCUGUCCCCGUUCCGGCCCCUCCCUGCUCCAGGAGGCUCCCAGGGACGAUCCCGAGGCGCUGGAAAUUCCCAAAAUCCCGGGUCCUGUUCCACAUCCCCCGGAGCCGCCCCAGAGCUCCCCCCUGGGCCCCUCUCCGGGGUUCCCUGGGGGGUUCCAGCCCCGAAAUUCCGCGGCCCCGCAGCAGAGGGAGGAGGAGCCGGCGGCCGGGGCGCAGAGUGAAGGGUCAGAUUCCGUCAUUUUGCUGAAGGUCAAGGAUUCCAGGACUCCGGCUCCAAGGUGAGGGGUGGGGAAUGGGGAGAUUUGGGGGAUUUUUUAGGGACACAGGGAGGUGACAGCGAAGAGGGACAGGGUGAGAAUUUGGGAAAUGAGGGAAUUCUGGGGAAAUUUCAGGAUUUUUGGUCACUUCCAACCCUCCUUUCUCCCUCUUUCCAGCCUUCCCUUUUUCCAGGCCGAGCUAUGGAUCAAGGAGCUGACCAGCGUCUACGAUUCCCGAGCCAGAGAGAGGUGGAGGCAAAUCGAGGAGCAGAAAGCUCUGGCCCUGCAGCUCCAGAGCCAGGUGAGAAUUACAUGGAAAAAUGCACUGGCUUGGAAAAAAAAAAUUGGGGGAAAAAAGUGCAAGAACAAAAAAAAAAGCAGGUAAAAUCAAUUUUUAAAAAGCUUUUGUGCUUCCCAGUCAUGGGAGAAACAGCAAGGAAAAGAGGAAAUGUUGUCCCAGAUUGGAAAUCAUGCCAAAUUGGAAAUUUUGGUACUGGAAAGGUGGUUAUGGCUUGGAAAAGGGGUUAGAAUCCGUGGAAGUGGGGAAAAAAAUGAGAUGUGGCACUUGGGGACCAGGGUUGGGUGGCUCUGGAAGGGUUAAUUUCUGGAGAUUUUUCUGACUUUAUUGGUCCUAAAUCCUCCUUUUCCCCGAUCCCAAAUGCCUCUGUGAGGAGAAUCCCUGAUCCCGGCUCUCUCAUUCCCAAAUCCCUGAUCCUGGUUCUGUCAUUCCCAAAUCCCCACAAAUCCCCAGUCCCUGACCCCGGCUCUCUCAUUCCCAAAUCCCUGAUCCCAACUCUCUGAUCCCCUUUUCUUGACCCCGGCUCUCUCAUUCCCAAAUCCCCAUUCCCCAAUCCCAGCUCUCUCAUUCCCCAUUCCCACUCCCAGCUCUGGUCCCCUUCCCUGACCCAUCUCUCCCAUUCCCCAUUCCCACUCUCAGCUCUGGUCCUCACUCCCAGCUGACCCCGGCUCUCUCAUUCCCAAAUCCCCAUUCCCCAAUCCCAGCUCUCUCAUUCCCCAUUCCCACUUCCAGCUCUGGUCCCCUCCCCUGACCUGUCUCUCUCAUCCUCCAUUCCCAAUCCCAGCUCUCGUUCCCCACUCCCAGCUCCCAUUCCCCACUCCCAGCUCUCUCAUUCCCCAUCCCCACUCCCAUCCCCAUUCCCAUCCCAGCUCCCAUUCCCCAUUCCCCAUCCCCACUCCCAUUCCCACUCCCCACUCCCAUCUCUCCCACUCC